rnacentral:rRNA from 1 species
GAGGGACCACCCUCCAAGGCUAAAUACUACCUAGUGACCGAUAGCGUAUAGUACCGUGAGGGAAAGGUGAAAAGAACCCCGGGAGGGGAGUGAAAUAGAACCUGAAACCCUGCACUUACAAGCUGUGGAAGCACAUUUCUUGUGUGACCGCGUACUUUUUGUAGAACGGGCCAACGAGUUACGUUAAGUAGCAAGGUUAAGCACUUAAGGUGCGGAGCCGUAGCGAAAGCGAGUUUUAACUGAGCGUUCAGUUACUUGACGUAGACCCGAAACCGGGCGACCUACCCAUGAGCAGGAUGAAGCGAAAGUAAAAUUUCGUGGAGGUCCGAACCCACGAGCGUUGAAAAGCUCGGGGAUGACUUGUGGGUAGCGGUGAAAUUCCAAUCGAGCCCGGAGAUAGCUGGUUCUCCCCGAAAUAGCUUUAGGGCUAGCCUCAAGGUGAGAGAUACGGAGGUAGAGCACUGAAUGUCCUAGGGGGUAUUGCACCUACCGAAGACUAUCAAACUCCGAAUGCCGUCAUCUUAUACUUGGGAGUCAGACUGUGGGUGAUAAGAUUCAUAGUCGAAAGGGCAACAGCCCAGAUCGUCAGCUAAGGUCCCUAAAUGUAAGUUAAGUGGUAAAGGAUGUGGGAUUGCACAGACAACCAGGAUGUUGGCUUAGAAGCAGCCACUCAUUCAAAGAGUGCGUAAUAGCUCACUGGUCGAGUGAUCCUGCGCCGAAGAUUUCCGGGGCUAAAACUUACUACCGAAGCUACGGCAUCAGUAAUGAUGGGUAGGGGAGCUUCCCAUACGGGUUGAAGCAUGACCGUAAGGACAUGUGGACAGUAUGGGAGUGAGAAUGUUGGCAUGAGUAGCGAGAUGUGGGUGAGAAUCCCACAGGCCGUAAACCCAAGGUUUCCAGGGGAAGGUUCGUCCGCCCUGGGUUAGUCGGGACCUAAGCUGAGGCCGAAAGGCGUAGGUGAUGGACAACAGGUUGAUAUUCCUGUACUACCGAUAACCGUUUGAGAGAAGGGAUGACACAGUAGGAUAAGCUAAGCACACUGUUGGUUAUGUGUGCCCAAGCAUUGAGGCAGUCAAAGUAGGCAAAUCCGCUUUGAUAAUGCUGGGAUGUGAUGGGGAGCGAAAUUUAGUAGCGAAGUAGCUGAUUUCACACUGUCAAGAAAAGUCUCUAUCGAGGUUAAAGGUACCCGUACCGCAAACCGACACAGGUGGGUGAGGAGAGUAUCCUAAGGCCAGCGAGAGAACUGUUGUUAAGGAACUCGGCAAAAUGACCCCGUAACUUAGGGAUAAGGGGUGCCACCAUCAGGUGGCCGCAGAGAAUAGGCCCAAGCGACUGUUUACCAAAAACAUAGGUUUCUGCUAAGUCGCAAGACGAUGUAUAGGAGCUGACGCCUGCCCGGUGCUGGAAGGUUAAGGGGAUCUGUUAGAGCAAUCGAAGCAGUGAACUUAAGCCCCAGUAAACGGCGGCCGUAACUAUAACGGUCCUAAGGUAGCGAAAUUCCUUGUCGGGUAAGUUCCGACCCGCACGAAAGGCGUAACGAUUUGGGCACUGUCUCAACAACAGACUCGGUGAAAUUGUAAUUCCGGUGAAGAUGCCGGAUACCUGCGACAGGACGGAAAGACCCCAUGGAGCUUUACUGUAGCUUGACAUUGGGUCUUGGUACUACAUGUACAGGAUAGGUGGGAGGCUUUGAAACCAGGACGCCAGUUUUGGCGGAGCCAUCCUUGGGAUACCACCCUUGUAGUACUGGGACUCUAACCAUAGGCCAUGAAUCUGGUCUUGGGACACUGUCAGGUGGGCAGUUUGACUGGGGCGGUCGCCUCCCAAAAGGUAACGGAGGCGCUCAAAGGUUCUCUCAGUACGGUCGGAAAUCGUACGUAGAGUGUAAAGGCAAAAGAGAGCUUGAUUGCAAGACAUACAGGUCGAGCAAGGAUGAAAAUCGGACUUAGUGAUCCGGUGGUUCUGCGUGGAAGGGCCAUCGCUCAACGGAUAAAAGCUACCCUGGGGAUAACAGGCUUAUCUCCCCCAAGAGUCCACAUCGACGGGGAGGUUUGGCACCUCGAUGUCGGCUCAUCACAUCCUGGGGCUGUAGUAGGUCCCAAGGGUUGGGCUGUUCGCCCAUUAAAGUGGUACGCGAGCUGGGUUCAGAACGUCGUGAGACAGUUCGGUCCCUAUCCGUCGCAGGCGUAGGAAAUUUGAGAAGACCUGUCCUUAGUACGAGAGGACCGGGAUGGACGUACCUCUGGUGUACCAGUUGUCCUGCCAAGGGCAUGGCUGGGUAGCUAUGUACGGAAUGGAUAAGCGCUGAAAGCAUCUAAGCGCGAAGCCAACUUCAAGAUAAGAUUUCCCACCGCAAGGGUAAGACCCCAGAAAGACUAUCUGGUUGAUAGGUCGAAGGUGUAAGUGCAGCAAUGUAUUUAGCUUAUCGAUACUAAUAGGUCGAGGACUUGACCAA